rnacentral:rRNA from 1 species
GUACCAGACUCCUACGGGAGGCAGCAGUGGGGAAUAUUGCACAAUGGGGGAAACCCUGAUGCAGCGACGUCGCGUGAGCGAUGAAGUAUUUCGGUAUGUAAAGCUCUAUCAGCAGGGAAGAAAAUGACGGUACCUGACUAAGAAGCCCCGGCUAACUACGUGCCAGCAGCCGCGGUAAUACGUAGGGGGCAAGCGUUAUCCGGAUUUACUGGGUGUAAAGGGAGCGUAGACGGUUACGCAAGUCUGGAGUGAAAGGCGGGGGCCCAACCCCCGGACUGCUUUGGAAACUGUAUGGCUGGAGUGCAGGAGAGGUAAGUGGAAUUCCUAGUGUAGCGGUGAAAUGCGUAGAUAUUAGGAGGAACACCAGUGGCGAAGGCGGCUUACUGGACUGUAACUGACGUUGAGGCUCGAAAGCGUGGGGAGCAAACAGGAUUAGAUACCCCAGUAUC